rnacentral:misc_RNA from 1 species
UGAUUCGAUUCGGUUUCUAAAAUAUGAUAAUUUGGUUAAUUUGGUUCAGUUCGGUUUGGUUUAAACCGAAUGAUCAGCCCUAGGUAGAGGUUUCAUCAAUCACCUUGAUCCUAGAGUUCAACUAAAAUCCUGAAGUAUGACUAACUACCUGCGUAGGAGUUGCUAGUAAUCUGUCAGAAUUCAUAUGUUUAAUAUCAAUUACUGAGAUGAAUUUUUCAAUAUGUUUAUGGAACUAAGUAUGUUAUUAACUGUAAUUUAUAUGGUUGAUAAAACUUAUCAUUGACAAUAUAAGGAUUGUCUUGCUCUGAAAUAAAGAUGUGGG